AAUGAACGCUGGCGGCAUGCCUAACACAUGCAAGUCGAACGAGACCUUCGGGUCUAGUGGCGCACGGGUGCGUAACGCGUGGGAAUCUGCCCUUGGGUUCGGAAUAACAGUUGGAAACGACUGCUAAUACCGUAUGAGCCCGAGAGGGGAAAGAUUUAUCGCCUUUGGAGGGGCCCGCGUCAGAUUAGGUAGUUGGUGGGGUAAAGGCCUACCAAGCCUACGAUCUGUAGCUGGUCUGAGAGGAUGAUCAGCCACACUGGGACUGAGACACGGCCCAGACUCCUACGGGAGGCAGCAGUGGGGAAUAUUGCGCAAUGGGCGAAAGCCUGACGCAGCGACGCCGCGUGGGGGAUGAAGGCCUUCGGGUUGUAAACCCCUUUCAGCAGGGACGAAGCGAAAGUGACGGUACCUGCAGAAGAAGCGCCGGCUAACUACGUGC
rnacentral:rRNA from 1 species